rnacentral:lncRNA from 1 species
UUCAGUUUUAUUGGUUGCACGCACAGUCAGUUAUUUCAUCCAGAAAAUCUGAAGGCCCUACAAACUAACCAGAACAGUAAGGGUUGAAACUGAAGGCCGAUUGUGAAUACUAUCCACCGGGAGCUUCUUAUGAAUUGACUCAUGUUCCUCAGAUAAUAAAUAACACUAAAAGACACCAGUUAGCUUCUGACCUCAAGGAGUGCUACUUUCAUCUCCUGCAAGCUUUGAAAAGGGAUCUGAUACCUGACAACAUCUUGACAAAAGCACAUCCCAUCUUCUGAUGGAAGCUGAACCAAAAUUAUUGAUGUCGCUAGUGAUUCAGGGUACUCUAGAUUGUUUGGAGUCCUAUAUAAAUACAUUUAAUAGACAAAAAAAUUGCUGCCUUAAUCUAAGCAGAAAUGACCUUAGUAGAUAGAUACUGCUUACCCCACUGAUGCAUUAGAGCUAUACUAGUUCUACUCCUAAUUCUUGAGAAGCUGUGUUUUCUCUAAUUUAUUUCCUUUUUGAUCUUCACCUAUAGUUUUGCUAGGCUUAUUUGUAACUUCUGUAUCCAUAAAUAAAUAAUCGCUGUGGCUUUAGCAUUAAAUAAUAUCUAUCUAUUUAAUAUUUUGAGUCAUCAUUUUUAUUGUGGCUAAUGAUAAUGACUGGGAAU